UGUCAUGUUUUGCUAUGCUUAUAAUUCCAACAACCAAUUUUGGUUCAACCGUCUUAUCUUUUCCCACUUGUAUAUGCCCCCUCUUUCUUUUGGACCACAUCAAGAUUAUUGGAGCAUGGACCAUCCUUGCACCCAUAGAGUCUAUAUAAGAGGUUUUGCUUGUCAUUUUCCUAGAAAUCUUAGAUCUUGCUUGCCCUACUUACAAACAAACAAUCUUUUUAAACUUUGGAUCUUGAAAUCUUCAUUAGCAAAGUUUAUAUGAUAGUUUUCUAGGAAAAUACUAGGAUGCAUAGCAGAUUGAACCAAAAAGAUGUGCUUAUUCACAAUGGAUAUGAGAUCAUCACAGGUUGGAC
rnacentral:lncRNA from 1 species